CUUAGUGGCGGACGGGUGAGUAACGCGUGGGGAACCCGCCCUGUACAGGGGGAUAACACUUAGAAAUAGGUGCUAAUACCGCAUAAGCGCACAGUAUCGCAUGAUACAGUGUGAAAAACUCCGGUGGUACAGGAUGGACCCGCGUCUGAUUAGCUGGUUGGCGGGUAACGCCCACCAAGGCGACGAUCAGUAGCCGGCCUGAGAGGGUGAACGGCCACAUUGGGACUGAGACACGGCCCAAACUCCUACGGGAGGCAGCAG
rnacentral:rRNA from 1 species